AGAGUUUGAUCCUGGCUCAGGACUAACGCUGGCGGCGUGCCUAACACAUGCAAGUCGAACGAGGUAGCAAUACCUAGUGGCAGACGGGUGAGUAACACGUGGUCAACCUGCCUCUUUGUGGGGGAUAACUAGCCGAAAGGUUAGCUAAUACCGCAUACGAUCGUCCGAGGGCAUCCUUAGACGAUGAAAGGAGCAAUCCG
rnacentral:rRNA from 1 species